rnacentral:rRNA from 1 species
GACGAACGUUGGCGGCGUGCCUAAUACAUGCAAGUCAACUGAAAUACCGGUAGCAAUACUGGUAUGGAGGUGGCGCACGGGUGAGUAACACGUAGGUAAUCUGCCUUCAGGUCUGACAUAACCCAUCGAAAGGUGAGCUAAUAUCAGAUGAUGCAGCGGCUUGACAUCAAGACAGUUGUUAAAGCUUCGGCGCCUGAAGAUGAGCCUGCGUCUGAUUAGCUAGUUGGCGGGGUAACGGCCCACCAAGGCUGCGAUCAGUAGCUGGUCUGAGAGGAUGAUCAGUCACACUGGAACUGAGACACGGUCCA